CCUACGGGAGGCAGCAGUAGGGAAUUUUCGUCAAUGGGCGCAAGCCUGAACGAGCGAUGCCGCGUGAGUGAAGAAGGCCUUCGGGUCGUAAAGCUCUGUUGCGGGGGAAAAAAGGCAGCAUCAGGAAAUGGGUGCUGACUGAUGGUGCCCCGCCAGAAAGUCACGGCUAACUACGUGCCAGCAGCCGCGAUAAUACGUAGGUGGCGAGCGUUAUCCGGAAGGAUUGGGCGUAAAGGGUGCGCAGGCGGUCCUGCAAGUCUGGAGUGAAACGCAUGAGCUCAACUCAUGCAUGGCUUUGGAAACUGGAGGACUGGAGAGCAGGAGAGGGCGGUGGAACUCCAUGUGUAGCGGUAAAAUGCGUAGAUAUAUGGAAGAACACCAGUGGCGAAGGCGGCCGCCUGGCCUGUUGCUGACGCUGAGGCACGAAAGCGUGGGGAGCAAAUAGGAUUAGAUACCCUUGUAGUC
rnacentral:rRNA from 1 species